rnacentral:lncRNA from 1 species
UCAACUGUCGAACCUACUGGUCUAAUAUAGCCACCGACUCCUCCUUAUAUGACAGAUCCUUGUGCAAUUGGACAGUGAUGAAAUCUAACACGUGGGUGGGAUCACCGUGAUACUUCCGAAGCAUGGAUACAUGGAAAAUCGGAUGCACGGCUAACAAGCUAGGCGACAAUGCAAGUCUAUAAGCCACAUUCCCCACACGGUCGAGAAUCUCAAACGAGCCAAUACACCUAGGGCUAUGCUUUCCCUUCUUCCCGAAUCUCAUCACGCUCUUCAUAGGCGAUACACGGAGCAAUACUCGCUCGCCAACUAUGAAAGCAACAUCCCUGACCUUACGAUCUGCAUAACUUUUCUGCCUAGACUGAGCUGACCGAAGUCUGUCCUGAAGGAUCUUGACCUUAUCCAAGGCCUCCUGCACCAAAUCUGUACCCAAUAACCGAGCCUCUCCUGGCUCAAACUAUCCAAUUGGAGAUCGAC